UACGGAGGAUCCGAGCGUUAUCCGGAUUUACUGGGUUUAAAGGGUGUGUAGGCGGGCUUUUAAGUCAGUGGUGAAAUCUCCGGGCUCAACCUGGAAACUGCCAUUGAUACUAUUAGUCUUGAAUUUUGUUGAGGUAGGCGGAAUAAGUCAUGUAGCGGUGAAAUGCAUAGAUAUGACUUAGAACACCAAUUGCGAAGGCAGCUUGCUAAACAAAUAUUGACGCUGAGGCACGAAAGCGUGGGGAUCAAACAGG
rnacentral:rRNA from 1 species